CAUUCUUGGAGCACUGGCUGCAACGUAAGAAGUCUGACUACUCUCUUGGAGAGGACUUGUGGAGUGGCCCUGUGCUGCAUGCGUAGAAGGAAAAACCGAGGAGAGUUCAGCCCUCCAGCUGUUCUUACCAAGGCACCAGGCAUAAGGCAGAAAUGGUUUCCGUUCAGCAAAUCCACACCAGCAAUCCUCUUACAGCAAAUUUCCAAGAAACAUGGUUGGAUAACAGUGCUGGACCUAAAAAAGGUGUUGGCCCACGAGUGCCUCUCUCUCCCUGCCUGAGCUCCCUGACCAGCAUGCGUGUGGCCUCCAGGUGUGUUGUCUACCCCCCAGGACCUAAUUCUCAGAGUUUCUCAAAUAUGAUGGGUAAACCGCCUGCAGAAAAAUCACCCGGGGCCUUGUUAAAACUGGAGAUCCCUGAGCCCAGCCCUGCAAGAUGGAGAGGAGAUUUAGAAUUCGGGAACAUGUUGUUUUAAUUCAGAACUCAGGGAAUGGUUAUAAAUAUUAAAGUUUGAGAACCACUGACGAUCAGGAUCUGUUGUGUACAUUAACACAAGUGGAAUUACUGUAAUAGGGAAAAACACUUCUACUUAAUAUACCCAAAAAUGAUAUACUUUAAAAAUCUCAAACCUGACUUCUUAAGCUGCUUUAAAGAAUGGUUUCUCUGUACAUUCCAAAUGGACUUUCACAUAUUUGCCCUCAGUGAUUUCUCAUGUAGCUUUGAAUCCUGGAGAACUACCCAAUAAUUAGUCUUAGAAACCAGUGAAGGUGGCCGGGCUUAGUGGCUCACACCUGUAAUCCCAGC
rnacentral:lncRNA from 1 species